rnacentral:rRNA from 1 species
GGGUUGUGAGGUUAAGCGACUAAGCGUACACGGUGGAUGCCCUGGCAGUCAGAGGCGAUGAAGGGCGUGCUAAUCUGCGAUAAGCGCCGGUAAGGUGAUAUGAACCGUUAUAACCGGCGAUACCCGAAUGGGGAAACCCAGUGUGACUCGUCACACUAUCAUUAACUGAAUCCAUAGGUUAAUGAGGCGAACCGGGGGAACUGAAACAUCUAAGUACCCCGAGGAAAAGAAAUCAACCGAGAUUCCCCCAGUAGCGGCGAGCGAACGGGGAGGAGCCCAGAGCCUGAAUCAGCAUGUGUGUUAGUGGAAGCGUCUGGAAAGGCGCGCGAUACAGGGUGACAGCCCCGUACACAAAAGCGCAUGUGCUGUGAGCUCGAUGAGUAGGGCGGGACACGUGGUAUCCUGUCUGAAUAUGGGGGGACCAUCCUCCAAGGCUAAAUACUCCUGACUGACCGAUAGUGAACCAGUACCGUGAGGGAAAGGCGAAAAGAACCCCGGCGAGGGGAGUGAAAAAGAACCUGAAACCGUGUACGUACAAGCAGUGGGAGCACAGGUUUACCUGUGUGACUGCGUACCUUUUGUAUAAUGGGUCAGCGACUUAUAUUCUGUAGCAAGGUUAACCGAAUAGGGGAGCCGGAGGGAAACCGAGUCUUAAUUGGGCGUUAAGUUGCAGGGUAUAGACCCGAAACCCGGUGAUCUAGCCAUGGGCAGGUUGAAGGUUGGGUAACACUAACUGGAGGACCGAACCGACUAAUGUUGAAAAAUUAGCGGAUGACCUGUGGCUGGGGGUGAAAGGCCAAUCAAACCGGGAGAUAGCUGGUUCUCCCCGAAAGCUAUUUAGGUAGCGCCUCGUGAAUUCAUCUCCGGGGGUAGAGCACUGUUUCGGCUAGGGGGCCAUCCCGGCUUACCAACCCGAUGCAAACUGCGAAUACCGGAGAAUGUUAUCACGGGAGACACACGGCGGGUGCUAACGUCCGUCGUGAAGAGGGAAACAACCCAGACCGCCAGCUAAGGUCCCAAAGUCAUGGUUAAGUGGGAAACGAUGUGGGAAGGCCCAGACAGCCAGGAUGUUGGCUUAGAAGCAGCCAUCAUUUAAAGAAAGCGUAAUAGCUCACUGGUCGAGUCGGCCUGCGCGGAAGAUGUAACGGGGCUAAACCAUGCACCGAAGCUGCGGCAGCGACACUGUGUGUUGUUGGGUAGGGGAGCGUUCUGUAAGCCUGUGAAGGUGUGUCGUGAGGCAUGCUGGAGGUAUCAGAAGUGCGAAUGCUGACAUAAGUAACGAUAAAGCGGGUGAAAAGCCCGCUCGCCGGAAGACCAAGGGUUCCUGUCCAACGUUAAUCGGGGCAGGGUGAGUCGACCCCUAAGGCGAGGCCGAAAGGCGUAGUCGAUGGGAAACGGGUUAAUAUUCCCGUACUUGGUGUUACUGCGAAGGGGGGACGGAGAAGGCUAUGUUGGCCGGGCGACGGUUGUCCCGGUUUAAGCGUGUAGGUGUGUGUUCCAGGUAAAUCCGGUUCACUUUAACACUGAGGCGUGACGACGAGGCACUACGGUGCUGAAGCAACAAAUGCCCUGCUUCCAGGAAAAGCCUCUAAGCAUCAGGUAACAUCAAAUCGUACCCCAAACCGACACAGGUGGUCAGGUAGAGAAUACCAAGGCGCUUGAGAGAACUCGGGUGAAGGAACUAGGCAAAAUGGUGCCGUAACUUCGGGAGAAGGCACGCUGACACGUAGGUGAAGUGAUUUACUCAUGGAGCUGAAGUCAGUCGAAGAUACCAGCUGGCUGCAACUGUUUAUUAAAAACACAGCACUGUGCAAACACGAAAGUGGACGUAUACGGUGUGACGCCUGCCCGGUGCCGGAAGGUUAAUUGAUGGGGUCAGCGCAAGCGAAGCUCCUGAUCGAAGCCCCGGUAAACGGCGGCCGUAACUAUAACGGUCCUAAGGUAGCGAAAUUCCUUGUCGGGUAAGUUCCGACCUGCACGAAUGGCGUAAUGAUGGCCAGGCUGUCUCCACCCGAGACUCAGUGAAAUUGAACUCGCUGUGAAGAUGCAGUGUACCCGCGGCAAGACGGAAAGACCCCGUGAACCUUUACUAUAGCUUGACACUGAACAUUGAGCCUUGAUGUGUAGGAUAGGUGGGAGGCUUUGAAGUGUGGACGCCAGUCUGCAUGGAGCCGACCUUGAAAUACCACCCUUUAAUGUUUGAUGUUCUAACGUGGACCCGUUACCCGGGUUGCGGACAGUGUCUGGUGGGUAGUUUGACUGGGGCGGUCUCCUCCUAAAGAGUAACGGAGGAGCACGAAGGUUGGCUAAUCCUGGUCGGACAUCAGGAGGUUAGUGCAAUGGCAUAAGCCAGCUUGACUGCGAGCGUGACGGCGCGAGCAGGUGCGAAAGCAGGUCAUAGUGAUCCGGUGGUUCUGAAUGGAAGGGCCAUCGCUCAACGGAUAAAAGGUACUCCGGGGAUAACAGGCUGAUACCGCCCAAGAGUUCAUAUCGACGGCGGUGUUUGGCACCUCGAUGUCGGCUCAUCACAUCCUGGGGCUGAAGUAGGUCCCAAGGGUAUGGCUGUUCGCCAUUUAAAGUGGUACGCGAGCUGGGUUUAGAACGUCGUGAGACAGUUCGGUCCCUAUCUGCCGUGGGCGCUGGAGAACUGAGGGGGGCUGCUCCUAGUACGAGAGGACCGGAGUGGACGCAUCACUGGUGUUCGGGUUGUCAUGCCAAUGGCACUGCCCGGUAGCUAAAUGCGGAAGAGAUAAGUGCUGAAAGCAUCUAAGCACGAAACUUGCCCCGAGAUGAGUUCUCCCUGAGACUUAGAGUCUCCUGAAGGAACGUUGAAGACGACGACGUUGAUAGGCCGGGUGUGUAAGCGCAGCGAUGCGUUGAGCUAACCGGUACUAAUGAACCGUGAGGCUUAACCUUACAACGCCG